CCCUUAGAUGUUCUGGGCUGCACGCGCGCUACACUGAUGCAUCCAACAAGUUUUUUCCUUGUUCGAGAGGACUAGGUAAUCUUAUGAGAAUGCAUCGUGAUGGGGAUAGAUUAUUGCAAUUAUUAAUCUUCAACGAGGAAUUCCUAGUAAGCGCGAGUCAUCAGCUCGUGCUGAUUACGUCCCUGCCCUUUGUACACACCGCCCGUCGCUGCAACUGAUUGGGUGACCUGGUGAACAUCUUGGACUGGCCCACUCAAUUUCGAGAGGACUGGAAAAGGCCGUAAAUCAGGUACAUCUAGAAAUUGCAAAAGUCGUAACA
rnacentral:rRNA from 1 species